GUUCCCAAUUCCGACAGCCCUGAUCUUCUAACGUUGCAGAAAUCCAUUCAUUCUGCUAGCACUCCAAGCAGCAGACCAAAGGAGUGGCGCCCCGAGAAGAUCUCAGAUCUACAGACCCAAAGCCAGCCAUUAAAAUCACUGCGCAAGUUGUUACAUCUCUCUUCGGCCUCGAAUCACCCGGCUUCUUCAGACCCCCGCUUCCAGCCCUUAACAGCUCAACAAACCAAAAAUUCCUUCUCAGAAAUUCGGAUUCACCCCCUGAGCCAGGCCUCUGGCGGGAGCAGCAACAUCCGGCAGGAGCCCGCACCGAAGGGCAGGCCAGCCCUCCAGCUGCCAGGCAGCUGCUUGAUGAUACAAGUGAGGUGGACCAUCAGCAGUUUGCCUGGACACUAAUGACUCUAAAAGGGUGUGUAUUUAACUCUUCUUUUUCAUACUAGAUCUCUACCUUGUAUUCCCCCCUUGCAAACCAGAAACUACACUUUUUUCCUCUGGAAAGACUUCUCACUGUGCUAUGCGCUUAGGAACUGCACGGUCCCGUUGCCAUGCUGUGGCACUCGAGGCUCGUUGUCACCUAGGGGCUGGUUUCCCAUGUUGUCAUCCUUGCUAACACUGGGAUCUCAGAUGUUUGCAGAACAUUUCUAUUCAUGAUGGUUCUUCAAAGAAGGGCUAGAAUAUUUGCCUUCUACCUAGAGCAAAGUAAACCUAAUUGCUGAAGAGUCAAUACGUACUUUUUGUACAUUCCCAGAUUUGAGCCAGAAAAUACCUACAGAUAUCUACAUAUGUUUUCAACCAGUGUUUUCGAGGUAGCUCUUUAAUCCUCUUCUCAGCUUUUGUCUGUUCUGACUUUUCAUCCAGUAAGCUGUAAGUGAACUACAGUCUGCAUUUCUAGCAUGCAAUUCUCUUCCUGCUCACGAAGGGGGGAUGAUAAAGUUUUCUCUCAGACCUAAUGGGCCCUCUCUUAGCUUUUAACUGUUGUUUUCCCCUCUUGAUGAAGAAUUAUUGACAUCACAAAGAUUGCCAUCUCUGAUAGAAAGGACUUGAUUUAAAGUCAGAAAAAUUUGCCUUUUCUUUAGGAAGGGGAAUUCAUGACAUCCAUGUCCUAUUAUCGGCCCUAACUUCCUAAAGAAGAAAAAGGGUGAAUGAAAGCUUAUGUUACUUUUAUGAAAGUAUCACUGAUCUCCUUUGGAAAAGAAACUCUGCUUCACUGUUUUUCUACCUUUAUUUCUCUGCUGUCCCUGUUUUUCCUCUCUAACGUUCUAAAUACACUUUAACUGAACCUUGUUUGGUCUUGCUCUAAAAUUUAGCCUCUCUCUAGAGCCCAAGACCAAAAGGGAGUGCUUCAUGCUGAAGGGCUUAAGUGAGCUGACUCUACAGCUGUGGUUCUCAACUAGGGGCAGUUCUCAACUAGGGGCAGAUUUGCCCCCAUGGGCACAUUUGGUGAUGUCUGGGGACAUUUCGUUGUCACAGCUGGGGGUNCGGCCCUAACUUCCUAAAGGAAGAAAAGGGUUAAUGAAAGCUUAUGUUUC
rnacentral:lncRNA from 1 species